rnacentral:rRNA from 1 species
GACGAACGCUGGCGGCGUGCCUAAUACAUGCAAGUUGAGCGAUGAAGAUUGGUGCUUGCACCAAUUUGAAGAGCAGCGAACGGGUGAGUAACGCGUGGGGAAUCUGCCUUUGAGCGGGGGACAACAUUUGGAAACGAAUGCUAAUACCGCAUAAUAACUUUAAACAUAAGUUUUAAGUUUGAAAGAUGCAAUUGCAUCACUCAAAGAUGAUCCCGCGUUGUAUUAGCUAGUUGGUGAGGUAAAGGCUCACCAAGGCGAUGAUACAUAGCCGACCUGAGAGGGUGAUCGGCCACAUUGGGACUGAGACACGGCCCAAACUCCUACGGGAGGCAGCAGUAGGGAAUCUUCGGCAAGGGACGAAAGUCUGACCGAGCAACGCCGCGUGAGUGAAGAAGGGUGUCGGAUCGUAAAACUCUGUUGGUAGAGAAGAACGUUGGUGAGAGUGGAAAGCUCAUCAAGUGACGGUAACUACCCAGAAAGGGACGGCUAACUACGUG